UUAGCCUAACACAGACAAUUACACACAACAUUGUCCGCCAGAGAACUACAAGCGAAAAACUCAAAACUCCAAGGACUUGGCGGUGCUCCACACCAGCCUAGAGGAGCCUGUCCUAUAAUCGAUACCCCACGUUAAACCUUACCACCCCUGGCCUCCAGCCUAUAUACCGCCGUCGCCAGCAUACCUUGUGAAAGAAACAAUAGUAUGCACAACAGUUAUAAACUAACACGUCAGGUCAAGGUGUAGCACAUGGGAUGGAAGAGAUGGGCUACAUUUUCUACUACAGAACAGACGAAAGGAGCAAUGAAACACCCACCUGAAGGCGGAUUUAGCAGUAAGAUAGCCAAGAAAUGCUAUCUUAAAACCGCUCUGGAGCGCGC
rnacentral:rRNA from 1 species